ACUGGAUUGUCUGGUCCAGACUGUUAUUUACAGAUCGCUGUGAUAUAGCUUGAAUAUUGCAGAGUGCAGCGUUAAAGAACAAACAAAAUAUUAAAAUAUGGUUACUCUGAUUUGAUACCUCUGUCAUAAUCCUCAAUAGGAGGCCGAGUCAGGUGAACUUAGUUACCUGCCAAAUCUUACCAGCCAAUCAGUGUGAGGGCUUCUAAAUACUCAGCAGCAUUCAGAGCAGCACAUCUGACCUUGAUCUCUAACUCACAAACGGAUAAAAAUGAUCAGUUCCAAAUGAAGAACAAUAAAAGCUGUGUUUUGUUGUGGAUAUUAUUACAUAAAUAACAAUGCAACAGAGAAAGGCAAAGUGGUUUGUGGGUAGCAUAAUAGCAUGUCACUUUGAACUUGUCACCUGUUAAUCUUCUGUUGCUGAUGCAGAAAGUGUGCACAAAAAAUGUUGAGUGUUGGCAGAAAAUUGUAUUGUGCAUUGCCAUAAUCUUUGUCGAUAUUACUUUGUUAAAUGUCCAAAUGUUGUUGCCUGUCCUUGACACUAUCCACCCUUGUUUUCACUUUAACAAAGUUUAAUAUUGUUUUAAUAUUGUAUUCUGUUACCAUGGUUACUAAAGCUUAUUUUUUAUUCUUAUUUGCCAAAUAAGUUAUUCACCACAUACUAGAAUAGCUUUUAUCUGUGCUAAGGAUCUCAAUCUCCAUGAUCCAACAUCACCAGUUUCUCCUUACUUUACACAGUGCAUAAAUCAGGAAGUAGUCACAGGAUGGAGGAGCUCCUAAUAGUUGUUACACUUCACCAAUUACUGGUACACAGUACUGAACACUGAUACCGAUUACUGGUACUCAUUACUGAUGGCCUGUACCCAUUGUUAUUACAUUUACACAUUAUUGAUUAGGGUUACACAUUACUGUUUAGGGUUACACAUUAUUGAUUAGGGUUACACAUUAUUGAUUAGGGUUACACAUUACUGUUUAGGGUUACACAUUACUGAUUAGGGUUACAAAUUACUGAUAAGGGUUACACAUUAUUGAUUAGGGUUACACAUUACUGAUAAGGGUUACACAUUACUGAUUAGGGUUACACAUUACUGAUUAGGGUUACACAUUACUGAUAACCGAUUUACCAAAUACCAACACUCAUUACCUUUACAAAUUACUGACUAAAGUUAACAUUGAUGAUAAAUGGUACCCAUUACUGAUUACCAGUACACAUUACUGAUCGCCAUUACUCAUUACUGAUAAGCUUUACACAUUUCCGAUUACUGGUAUGCUUUACCAUAUACCUGUACACAUUACUGAUAUAUACUCGCUGUAAAAUGUGACUAUGCUUGUCGUAAAAGGCGACUAACAGGAUCGGGUGGUCAGGCUCGUUGACUUGAUUGAUACAUGUCAUCGAUCCCAAUUGCUUGGAUCGAUGCUCAUGAUGUCAAUCACUGGAUUGUCUGGUCACUGGAUUGUUACAGACCGCUGCAUAUAGCUGGAAUAUUGCUGAGUGCGGCGUUAAACAACAAACAAAAACAUUACUGAUAUGCUUUACUGAUUACUGGUACACAUUAGUGAUAACCAUUACAUAUUACUUAUUAGAAUUGCCAAUGACCUGUAGACAUAACCAACCACAAAAUUAUAUCGUAUUUUCUUGAGGAUAGUGCACACUUUAUUUUUUCAGAAGAUGAAGCAGCGCAGAGGGGGUGUGCAUUUUACAAGCCACCAUACGAUUUCAGGUAUUUUGUCCCCCAUGGGUAAACAAUACAUCCAGUAUGUAUACGGGAAAUCGAGUGUCAACAAACGGAAUACAAUACCGAUGCAUUCAUCUGUCCUAAUUUUAGUGUUCAGAUAUAAUAGAUAAAAUAUUUGACUGCGCAUAAUACUCGAAAAUACUUUUUUCCAAAAUUCUUUUGCAUCCCUUAGAGGGGUGCGUGCAUUAUGCUCGGGUGUGCACUAUACUCCCUAAAAUACGGUAAAUGAGAUGAUUAAGAUUGCUUGAGGCAGCAAUGCCACACAAAGACAUUUUCCAGCAACGUAAAAUGCACAAUCACCUUAUGAAGUUUAUUUUGACAGAACGUGUGUAAUACGUUUUAGAAAUAUAAUGAUGAGAAACUUGUAUUUCUCUUGCCACAAUAUUUAAAAAUGUUAUAUCUAUACUAUAAUGUCUUGAGGUUAAAGAAAGCAUUGGCUUAUUAAACUGGAACAGAGUGAUUGUUUUCAUGAAGAAGUCCCAUGUGUCUGGCUGUCAUACUGUGUGUAUGGUCACUGCUAUCGAGAUGAUCUCCCUUUGCUGUAGCUGGAUCUCAUUGGUGAAGCUGAUCAUAUAGAAUAGCCCUAGAAAUUCACAGUAUACAUGUUUGCCCCGACAAUCAAGGUACUCAAAUGGUGGGUUCUCGUUAAAAAGAAUAAGAUAUCAUUGGAACACUGAAGUCUCGAAGGAUUUUUGGUCCAUUGUUAUGAAAUGGACCCUCCAUUUAAUAUUUGUGUGAUGGGGCUGGGAGUUUAGUUGAAGAUGAACACCUUUUUCAGCCACUGUUUCAAAACACAUAAUUUCUAUCUAUGAGAAGCGUGUCCAGCAAACAAACUACUUUGGGGGUAAAAUAUGGGGACAAAUUAUUUUUUUAUUGUUUGUCCUGGAAGAAAUAAAUUCUGUUAAUAAUAAUCCCAGCCAUUAUCUUCCCGGUUGUCACCAAAUUAUGAUCAUGAUCUGCAAUAAGUUUGGAAAAAUAGGAAUAUCCUGAUCAAGAUAUGGAAUAGUAUAUCUAUAUACACGUUCAUUCUGAUUUUUAUGUGAUAGGUUCUCAUAUUUGGGGUAUUGUAUUUGUGGCUCCUAACAUGCUGUUUGAUGUAAUGGGUUGAAGUAUUCACCAGGUGUAUGUACUGUGUAACCAGUCCUUUCUGUCCAUCAUACAAAAUAAUUCCAUGGAUUUGCAGUUACCUCACCAAGUGACUGAAGUGAUCAAAAUCGUUCUAUACAAUCAACAGGAUCAAACCUCAUUAUAAUGCCAUGCUCAUUUCCUCAAUACUGAGUGAAGCAAAUUUCUAACAAUUGUGUCAUGCUAUUCCUCUAUUACGCCAGUCUGGCUUUACUUCAAUAUGGAGGGCCUGGCAUUAUAGUGAGGUUCAUGGCAGCCAUAAUGUCUUGCACAAUGUUGUGAAUAUUGUAUUCUGGAAUUUUGAGGACUACAUAUUUUUAGUCCUCAGUGUUGCCAUUGAGCCUGUACAGACAUUUAUACCGCAAUCGAUGUAAUACCAAAGGGGCAUUUAUAGGGAUAGAUUACCCUUAGGGGUAUGGAUAGGGGAAAUUAUUUUCAGUAAUUCUCACUGAGAAGUAUAAUGUUUGCUUGAUGCUGAUUGGCUCACAUCAAUUGUGCCAUUAUUUUCAUUGUCUCCAAAACAACGUUAAAUCAACAUGUUUCCGUAAAUACUGGACAUGACAUCACCCAUUGUUAAUGACAUCAUUGACCACGUUAUGUUGAUAUAGAGAGGAACCUUUUUGCAUCUCAGAUUGUCUGAUUCUCCAAAUUGUCUACAAUGGUUUUAUCCUGACUAUGAACAGAAAGUUCAUAGACUAGCAAAUUUCUUCACUGCAAGGUUUACUUAACUGUUGAAACUAUUAUUAACCUGAAGAAUCUGAUGCUACCGACUGAGACAUUGCUGGAGACUGAUAUUAAGCUGGCACAAGUCCAGGGUGAUCUUCACUCAUAAAGCUGUGAUAUUCUGAUAAAUGUACUGGCAACGUUAGAUGCUGAGGGAUGCAUUCAUGUGGUAAUUAUCGUGAUGGGAUAGUUUUGGCGAGGGGCACUCAUCAUGAUGAUUAUGGUAUAAUUUCAAGGAUAGGACUACGGUAUCAUUGUUUGCUUUUAACCUUUAUCAACAGUAUCAGGAAGUAUGUUCAUAAUAAAUCUUUUUAGUUCUAUGAGGACAUGUUCAUUCUUAUGCUUAGUUAGGUCUCAUCACACAGGGGCAUUGGCUUACCAUCAUACAGUGUUCGAAAUUAAACACAAAAGUGAUCCUGGUUAUAACCCUCGUGUUGAAUGAUAAGACAUUGAGGGGUCCCCAAAUUUAAAUACAGGAGCAGAUGUGAAGGACCCCAGGGCCCCCCUUAAUUUCGAACACUGUUCAUAUGUAGCAUGUUCUAAAAAAUAUCGGUAGAAAGUGUUCACUACCAGAUGUUUAGUUCAGCACUGAUGCACCCUAGGAAGGAUCCCAUGAUAUAGGAUGCUUGGUUUAUGUGAUAGGGAACUCUCCAGUAGUCUUGCCUGCUGUGGCUCAACCUGUACAUUUCCUGUGUAACAUAUGUCUUCUUGGAGUGUCUUUGUUAACCUUUAUAUUACAGGCCGUCUUUGCAGAGCAAGGGUUGAAAACCAGCAGUUAUGUUGAAUUGGAUUUUUUGGGUCCAUGUCUUCAGUGCAAAUCAAACAUAGGAGCAGUGUCUCUGAAGUUUACUAUAUAGGAUUAUCUAGCUUUGAAAGGUUUUCAAGAGGUUUUUUUAUAUAAAUGUGUGUCAAGUGACUCAUUGCCAGUGAAGAGGGCCAGUCAGGUAUCAGAUAGGGCGGAUCAGGUAGAAGGUAUCAGAUAGGGCGGGACGGCGGGUCAGGUAUCAGAUACGGCCAGGGGGGCUAUUUUUCACAGAAAUAGAGGUCAUCUGAUUUCAUCGAUGACUUGCCCCCCUUGCAGUGAGAAGCACUGCCUAUGUCCUGUAAAAAACCUCAAGGUCCAUUCUGUCCUGGCAGAAAAUGAAUGUGAAAAUUUUAUCAUAAAUUACUUUGUCCUAUUCCUCAACCCGGUGUUAUUAACUCCUUUCUUUCACAUGGAUUGCUAUUUAAGAUGGUCAUAGCUUGGUGGAAGGUCACAGGUCCCAGUUCCACAAAGCACAAAGUCUGUGUUGACAUAUGGGAGUUAUGAUCAUCUUAUCACUAAGAUGGCUUUGUGGAACAGGGCCUAGGUCUUAUUAAUGAAUUUAUUUAUGGUUCACUGCUGAAGUCUGAAUUUGAAGCCCAUUUGUAAAUUAUGCAUCAAACAGAAAUUCGUCCAAAGAUUUGGACAACCUAUGCUCUUCCAAGACGGUCAUCACCCAGUUAAACCAGAUUAAGUCCAACUUGGAGGUCAGUUGAGGUCACUUCACAUAUUGUGAUAAUUGUACAGUACAUGGUGUAUAUUGUGUGUAUGUGGCUUGUACAGAGAACGACAAAUUGCUAGCUGUGAGAUGAUUUUCUGUGAUUCCCUGUAUAUAACCACUAGCUAUUUACUGACAUGCCUUAGAUCGACACCUUUGGUGCUCGAACCAUUACCUGGAGAUACCAGAUUUUAUUAGGUGAUGAAAAUCCCUUGAGCCAAUUUUAAUAUGCCUUGUAUGCAGGACGCUGUGUGUGGGUCACCAUGUACAGUGCAGUAAUAAUAAAGAAUAAUUCUCUAUGAA
rnacentral:lncRNA from 1 species